GAUGAACGCUGGCGGCGUGCCUAAUACAUGCAAGUCGAGCGAACAGACGAGGAGCUUGCUCCUUUGACGUUAGCGGCGGACGGGUGAGUAACACGUAGAUAACCUACCUAUAAGACUGGGAUAACUUCGGGAAACCGGAGCUAAUACCGGAUAAUAUAUUGAACCGCAUGGUUCGAUAGUGAAAGAUGGUUUUGCUGUCACUUAUAGAUGGACCUGCGCCGCAUUAGCUAGUUGGUAAGGUAACGGCUUACCAAGGCAACGAUGCGUAGCCGACCUGAGAGGGUGAUCGGCCACACUGGAACUGAGACACGGUCCAGACUCCUACGGGAGGCAGCAGUAGGGAAUCUUCCGCAAUGGGCGAAAGCCUGACGGAGCAACGCCGCGUGAGUGAUGAAGGUCUUCGGAUCGUAAAACUCUGUUAUUAGGGAAGAACAAAUGUGUAAGUAACUGUGCACGUCUUGACGGUACCUAAUCAGAAAGCCACGGCUAACUACGUG
rnacentral:rRNA from 1 species